UUAUUUACUUUGGUUAAGUUAAGUCAUAAAAUUAUGCACUCAUCUGUCAUGCAAUUCAACCUUUUUAUAUCCAUUCAAGAUAGAAAAUUUGAUAUUUGCAGAUAUUUGUAUGCACAUUGCAUUGUUUAAUAUAUUGACAAAAUACAAUGAAGUUAGACAUUUGUCAACAGCAUAAAGAGGUUGAGCUAGAUAUACACAACUGGUCAACGUGCAGAAAAUAAAAAAUGACAGGACUCACAGCCACAAAAAAAUAAGGAUAUAUACCAUACUCCCUCCUCCCUAGGUUCAGGAAUCAUUAUAGCAGAGGGUUUGGAAAGGAUGUGAGAAGCAGACAUAGUAGAUGACUACAAAGAAGCAGUGCCUUCUAGAUACAAGGCAGCAGCUGCAGGGAUAAACUCACAGAAUUUGAAACAACACACCCAAGGCCUACACAAACUCAAGCCAGACCAAAUUCUAACAUGGAGCAGGGAAGCAGAAUAAAGUGUCACUCCCAAUUGAGGAGUUAUGGGCAAUUGGUAUCACUGGAAUAGUGACAAUAAGGUGUCUUUAAGAAUGUAGCCCUUGCUGAGUCAGCCAUCACUCUCCAGUGGUAAAGGACACAUGCCCAAGAAAGUAUGGCAGAAAAAGUUGGUCUCGAUAGAAACACAUAACUGCAAACGUAGGGAAGGAAACGUGGAUCUGGGAAAGGUUUGAAUAAAAAUGAAAUUAAAGAAGUGACUUACUGUUAGCCUUCUACUGGGAAUCUCUUCUCUUUUAAAAUAAUGAUUUUUUUAUUUAUAUGUAUAUGCAUGUUCAUAUGUAUGUAUGUAUAAAUGCACAUAUGUGCCCUUGGACAUGUGAGGGGGCACUGAGUACUCCUGGGAUUAUAGUUAUGAGCAGUUGUAAGCCACCAUGCGGUUUCUGGGAACUGCCUUUACUAGAGUGUCCAGUGUUCUAAUUAAUGGUCCAAAUCUUUAGCUUUGCGGAAUGUGUUUUUGUUCAUUCCAGACUGAGGUGGCAGCAACAAAACAAAACCCAAGGAAGCAAUUCGACCUAUACCCAGCUUGAUGAGCCUAUCUGCCCCCCCCCCCCCAAGGUUACUUGUGGAAACCUAAGUGAUUGAAAGGCAGCUGUACCCUGCAAAAGCCUCUGCUGGCAUGACUGACUACUCACAAAAGCAGUGUCACUGUAGCUCCUUGAACAACCUUCAGCUAGUUACAACACAGAGGAACACAAUAUCCUCUAUAAUUGUUCAUAAACCUGGAGAGGUGGCCCCAUGAUUCUUAUCAGUUUUGUGAGCUCCUGAGUUUUAUAAGUUUCAUGUGCCUGGUAAGCUUUCCUCUUCUGUCAGGGAAUGUUUGUAUCAAAAUACACAAGAUAUAAUUCACAGACCAUAUGAAGCUCAAAAGAAGGAAGACCAAAGUGUGGAUGCUCCAGUUCUUAAUAAAAGGGUGAAAAAUACUCACCAGAGGUAGAGAGUGGGAGGAAAUUGGAAAGAAAAGAGGUGUGGAAGGGGAAAAAUGGGGCGGGGGCAGGUCAGGUAUGUGAGGAAGCAGGAUGAUAUACAGAGGGUCAGGAAUUUGAUCACAGGUGUAUAGCAAUGGGAAUGGGGAACUGGGGGUAGCCACCAGCAAGUCACAGAUGCCAGGAAAGCAAGAGUCUCCCAGGACCCAACAGGGAUGAGUUAGCUGAAAUGCCCAACAAAGGGGGGGGGAGAGCCUGUAGAGACCAUAUCCAGAGGUUAGGCAAGGCCUCCAGUUGGGGUAUGGGGCCACCCAUUCAUCUCCAAAUUUUUAACCCAGAAUUGAUCUUGUCUAAAGGAAAUACAGAGAGGAAGUAUGUAGCAGAGACUGAAGAAAAGGCCAUCCAGAGAUUGCCUCACUUGGGAAUCUAUCUCAUAUAUAGCCAUCAAACCCAAACACUUAUUGUGGAUGCCACAAAGUGCUUGCUGACAGGAACUUGCUAUAGCCAUCUCCUGAGAGGCUCUGCUUCAGCCUGACAAGUACAGAGGCAGAUGCUCACAGCCAACCAUUGGACUGAGCACGGGGUCCCCGAUGGAGGAGUAACCCUAUAGGAAGAAUAACAGUAUCCAAUAACCAGACCCCCCCACACAUCCCCAGGAGAUCCCAGUGACUAAACCACUAGCCAAAGAGUACACAUGGAGUGACCCAUGCCCCCAGAGGCAUAUGUAGCAAAGGAUAUCUUUGUGGGGCAUCAAUGAAAAGAGAGGCCCUUGGCCUUGUGAAGGCAAGAUGCCCCAGUGUAAGAGAAUGCCAGGGUGGGGAGGCAGGAGUGGGUGUGUGGGUAAAGGAGCACCCUCAUAGAAGCAAGGGGAGGGGGUAUGCGAUAGGGGAUUUCUUGAAAGGAAACUGUGAAAAGGAUAAUAUUUGAUAUGUAAAUAAAUAAAAUAUGAAACCAAACCAAACAAACAAACAAAAAUGAGAGAGAUUACCUACUCAAGCUGUUAUCACAACAGAAACAAAUUCCUAAAACAGUAAUAUAAAUGAAAGGUAGUCAGAGACACAGGCAUGUACCACAAAUAUCAUUUACUUGACAGUCCAGUAAAUUAACAUAUAGGCAAAGCUGCUCAAACUACAGCUGGGUAUAAAAAAUGGUCUGAGGAAAAAGUGGUUCAUGAUUUAUGUUCAUUGUGAUGUAAAUGUUAUACAACUUGACUGUUUUAAUUAUUACUUUGUAAAUUUUUACAUAAACUUUUUC
rnacentral:lncRNA from 1 species